GGAGAGGUGGCCGAGUGGUUGAAGGCAACAGUCUUGAAAACUGUCGAGGUGAAUAGCCUCCGUGAGUUCGAAUCUCACCCUCUCCGCCA
rnacentral:tRNA from 1 species